rnacentral:rRNA from 1 species
UGAGGAAUAUUGGUCAAUGGGCGAGAGCCUGAACCAGCCAAGUAGCGUGCAGGAUGACGGCCCUAUGGGUUGUAAACUGCUUUUAUAUGGGAAUAAAGUGAGGGACGUGUCCCUUAUUGCAGGUACCAUAUGAAUAAGGACCGGCUAAUUCCGUGCCAGCAGCCGCGGUAAUACGGAAGGUCCAGGCGUUAUCCGGAUUUAUUGGGUUUAAAGGGAGCGUAGGCUGUUUGUUAAGCGUGUUGUGAAAUGUAAGAGCUCAACUUUUAGAUUGCAGCGCGAACUGGCAGACUUGAGUGCGCACAACGUAGGCGGAAUUCAUGGUGUAGCGGUGAAAUGCUUAGAUAUCAUGAAGAACUCCGAUUGCGAAGGCAGCUUACGGGAGCGCAACUGACGCUGAAGCUCGAAGGUGCGGGUAUCGAACAGG